rnacentral:rRNA from 1 species
GAUGAACGCUGGCGGCGUGCUUAACACAUGCAAGUCGAACGAGAAGUGGAGACGGACACCUUCGGGCGGAAGACUUUAUUUCGAGUGGCGGACGGGUGAGUAACGCGUGGGUAACCUGCCUCAUACAGGGGGAUAACAGUUGGAAACGACUGUUAAUACCGCAUAAGACCACAGCACCGCAUGGUGCGGGGGUAAAAACUCCGGUGGUAUGAGAUGGACCCGCGUUCGAUUAGCCAGUUGGCGGGGUAACGGCCCACCAAAGCGACGAUCGAUAGCCGAUCUGAGAGGAUGACCGGCCACAGUGGGACUGAGACACGGCCCAAACUCCUACGGGAGGCAGCAGUGGGGAAUAUUGCACAAUGGGGGAAACCCUGAUGCAGCGACGCCGCGUGAGUGAAGAAGUAUUUCGGUAUGUAAAGCUCUAUCAGCAGGGAAGAAAAUGACGGUACCUGAGGAAGAAGCCCCGGCUAACUACGUG